UUCUAUGGCGGCUGUGCGCGGGAGAUCUUCGGAUCUGCCGGGUUUCACAGAUAACCGGUUCGCCAACCUGCGUACAGCUGCCACCCUU
rnacentral:antisense_RNA from 1 species